UUGAGUAGUGGCGAACGAAAUUAGGUAUACAAAAGUAACAAAAGAAAAUAGGUAAAACUAUAUCUAAGUAUUAAAUAUUAAAAUCUAUAUAAAUAGUACUGUGAAGGAAAGAAUGUGAAUACUAGUAAUAUCCGACUAUUAAAUAGGAUACCUUUUGUAUAAUGAACCUGCAAGAAAAUUUUUGGCAAAUUUUAAUUCACUUAAAUGAUGUGAAAGUCAAAUUAUCCCGAAACUAAGUGAUUUACUCCUGAACAGUUUUAAGAACGAACCAUUAGCUGUUGCAAAAGCUUUGGGUGAUUUGGGAGUGGUAGUGAAAUACUAAUCGAACUUAGAAAUAGCUGGUUUUCUAUUAAAGUUCUAUAAGGAACAAAUACAAAAAAAUUUAAAUUUACUUACUAACAUAACAAAUUUAAAUAUUAUGUAUUAUUUAGGUUAUUGGUGAUAAGAUUAAUAACCAAAAGGGAAACAACCCUAUUUAGAAGCUUAAGUCAUCAAUAUAUUAAGUGUACAAUAAAGUUAAGUAAAAGCAUAAGGUAAAUUGGCUUGGAAACAGCCACUUUAUAAUUAAUACGUAACAGUAAACCUUCUAAACCUCUACUUUCACAAUAUAGGUGGCUAAAUAACCCUGAAGCUCUAAAUUGAUAAUAGAACGUUCUGUAAUAACAAAAUGGUAAUAUUACAGAAGCGACAAUGCAGGUAUGAAUAAUAAAUAACUUCAAGGUUUUAGAAAUUAAACAACUUUUAAAUCAAAGAUCAAUAUUGUAAGAAUUGACACAACAGGAAAUUUUACAAUAACAACUAUUGUACCAACUAACAACAGAGAAGUAACACAAGGGCAAAUUCUUAUUAAGGAACUCGGCAAAAUUAAUUAACAAUUAUCACUAGGAUCGACUGUUUACCAAAAACAUAGCCCCCCUACUACCUAUGGGGGGUGCAACCUGCUCAGUGGCUGCAAAUAAAUAAACUAAAUACAGUUAAAUAGCCGCGGUAACUCUGACCGUGAUAAAGUAGCAUAAUCACUUGUCACUUAAUUAGUGAAUGGAAUGAAUGGUUAAACGAAUCCUACACUGUCUCAAUAAGAAACCCUAUAAAAUUGGAAUUGUAGUGAAGAUACUACACUUAGAUUGCAAGACGAAAAGACCCUAUUGAGCUUUACUGGAUACUUAUAAUUACAAGCUAAGAUAGUAAAUAUAUAAAAAUAUUAAUUGUAAGUAAGACAGUUUGGUUGGGGCGACCACCUCUAAAAUAGUAACAGAGGAGAUCUAAAGGUAUUAUUUAUGAAUACAUGCUUAACUGAAAUAGCUAUAGCUUUAACAGAUAUAAAACAUAGGACAUAGUGACCCGUUAUAUUAAACUUUAUAUAUAACGACUACAGAAAAAGUUACCAUAGGGAUAACAGGGUAAUAUUUUCUAAGAGUUCUAAUCGACGAAAAUGUUUGCCACCUCGAUGUUGAAUUGUGAUAUCCUAGGGGUGCAGCAGCUCCUGAGGGUUGGUCUGUUCGACCAUUAAAAUCAUACAUGAUUUGAGUUCAUUCCGUCGUAAGACAGGAAGGUUUCUAUCUACAAUCUAUAAGGCUAAUAAUAUUUUUUAGUACGAAAGGAAUUAAAAUUAUUGUUUACAAAACAAAAUAAAUACAUGCUGAUUGCAUAUAAGCGUAUCAUUUUAGCCCAACAAUU
rnacentral:rRNA from 1 species